UACGAAGGGGGCAAGCGUUGUUCGGAAUUACUGGGCGUAAGGGGCGCGUAGGCGGCCACCGCAAGUCGGUUGUGAAAUCUCUGGGCUUAACCCAGAAAGGUCAACCGAUACUGCGGGGCUAGAGUGCAGAAGGGGCAACUGGAAUUCUCGGUGUAGCGGUGAAAUGCGUAGAUAUCGAGAGGAACACCUGCGGCGAAGGCGGGUUGCUGGGCUGACACUGACGCUGAUGCGCGAAAGCUAGGGGAGCGAACGGG
rnacentral:rRNA from 1 species